AUGUUUUCCAGGGUAAUUUUCAAGUUCUGAAGAAAAUACCCAACACAACCAAAAGUUGAAGCAUUCAAAAUGUUUUGGACUCAGCAACUAAAGAAAUAAGGAAGUAGCUUCAAAAGAUAGCCAUCAGUUCCGGAGUCUAUUCAAGGAUGAACAAUCUAUGAAUCCAGCCAUGUCCCCUAAAGGGUGAGAUCCCCCCUGGAGUCCUUUUCUCAGAGCAAUGGACAUUGAAUACAACACUGGGUAAAGCAUCUGAAUUUCUUUUCAGUCCUUUGCUUUCAGCUGUUCACAGGAGCAGUGAGUAGUGCUGAACACAGUCCAACUCUGGUUGUUUCUCUUUUGCAGUGGAAAAGAUCAUAUUUUAGCUCAGAUGAAAGCAAGCUGAAUGACUUCUUUUCCUGGAAAGCAUAUGUUUAUGCUCCCUAUUUUUUACAAGAACCAGGCAGUGUAAAUUCCAUUUAUUAAAACAUGAAUUUAGCACAUUGGCAACAGAGUGGCAAUAUUUAUUCUUACUAAACUCAAAAUUAUCUUGGAUGGUAAAAGAGAUCCUUAAUUAUACAUAGAUGCAAGACAAUAGAGCAUAACAUUUAAUUUUUUUAUGCAUCCCAAGAGCAAAAGCAAGGCUUCAUGCAUGCUUUUGCUAAACAAAAUUAUAGGCUAAAACUUUUGAGUGUUCCUGCACUUUCCAUUUCAUAUCCAUUGUGGCCUGCAGUAAGUAAAUCUCUUUUCCUUGAACAUAAAAACCCCUUCUGUAUGAGAAAUUUAAUGUCAUAAAUUGGCUCAGUUUCCUCUAUUGGCUCUAGGGAAAUGUCAGUCAUUUGAUAGGAAGAAGAGUCUUUCCCAAUUUGUUCAAGCCAUGAUUCUACAGUUCACUAGGAUUACAUCAGGACACAACCACAGAAUAGAGCAAAUACUGCUAGAAGUGGGCUGCCUGCCAUGGAGUCACCAUGGCUGUGGAAAAAAUAACCUCUAAUGCAAAAUAAAAGGGGCAGAAGGAAGGAAGAAAUGGCUGACAGCAGGACUGAGAGGCCAACCAUGCACCCUGGAAAAUUUCGAAGUAUUCUCAUCUCAACCACAAUUUGCCUACAUGAAGGGGAAACAGUCAGCCAUCUUGAUGUUGAUACAUGGAGAGAGUUAUUAAGAAAAGACGCACUGGUCUGGGAAGGACAUCUACAUUCUAUUCCAAUCUCUAACACUAAUCCACUCUGUGGCUGGACAGGUAUGUCCUUUAGGAGCAGCUAGCACUGUGGAUAGAGUGCUGGACCUGAAGACUUCCCUUCCUGACUUCAAAUUUGGCCUCAGACACUUACCAGCUGUGUGCCUGGGCAAAUCACUUAACCCUGUUUGCCUCAGUUCCUCAUCUGUGAAAUGAGCUGGAGAAGGAAAUGGCCAACCACCCCAAUAUAUACCGCCAAGAAACCCCCCAGUGGAGUUGUGAAGAGUCAGACACAACUGAAACAAGCGAGCAACAAUAUAGUUUGAAUCCGGAGAAACCAUGUCACUCUCAGU
rnacentral:lncRNA from 1 species